AACGUAGGUUCCGAGCGUUAUCCGGAUUUACUGGGCGUAAAGCGCGUUCAGGCGGUUUGGCAAGUCGGGCAUGAAAUCUCUCGGCUCAACCGGGAGAGGUUGUCCGAUACUGCUGGACUUGAGGGCAGUAGAGGGUGGUGGAAUUCCGGGUGUAGUGGUGAAAUGCGCAGAUAUCGGGAGGAACACCAAUGGCGAAGGCAGCUCACUGGGACGGUACUGACGCUGAGACGCGAAAGCGUGGGGAGCAAACAGG
rnacentral:rRNA from 1 species